CUCAGAUCAGAAGGUGACUGUGGCUUUGGGUGGAUAUCAAUCAGCCACGGCACUGCCUGGUCAGAAAGAG
rnacentral:pre_miRNA from 1 species